rnacentral:rRNA from 1 species
UUGGUGUGAAUUGCAGAAUCCCGCGAACCAUCGAGUUUUUGAACGCAAGUUGCGCCCGAGGCCUUCUGGCCGAGGGCACGUCUGCCUGGGCGUCACGC